GGUAUAUUGUUGAGAAAGUCAAAG
rnacentral:snRNA from 1 species